rnacentral:lncRNA from 1 species
AAUGGGGUUCAAAUACACAAAAUGAUCGAUCAAAUCAUUACAUUAAGAGACUGCGCAAAAAUAAGUACUCAAAAUAUUCCAUUUAGGUAUGAAAAAUAAAUACUCCUACAUCCUAAGAAGAAGAAAACAAAUAAUGAUAAGUUACAAUUAGGUUAAACCAUAUUAAAUAGAAGAAUGUAUGGAAAAAUGAUUGCAUCUCAAAAUCAAAAGGAACUUCUUUGCUUUUGGAUUUGGCGACCAAGCAAGGGAAAAAGCUAGAUGUGAUAAUAUGAAGCCCAGAAUAAAAAUGGCCAGCUUCUAACAUUUUCAAAAGACAACUAUGGAACCAAUUCUUCUUACACUAUAAUGAUCAGGACACUUGCAAAUUGCAAAGAAGUUUAAAAGUCAAUUGCCAUAAAUUUAAUUCCUGGUUAAUCAAGGGAAAUGAGCCUUCCCUUUAUUUUCCACCCUCCUUCUCCAUCCCUUCCUUUUUAUAUAUGCCCUACGCAAAGCGACUUUUCAACUUGCAAAUUAAAGAACACGACUGUUACCACUAAGAUCGGCAGUUUAGAGCAUUUUUAAAAUAAAUAAAAAGAUGUAAAAGAGGCAAAAUAUAUGAUUGAAGGAAAAAUAGUUAACUUGAGACAGUCUCAUGAAAAUGCCAAACAUUAUAACAAACAACGGAGAGGACGAGUGAACUUAUCAUUACGAAAAAAAGUAUCGGAUGAUUCUAUUCCGAUUUAUUUUUCAUAUGUAUUUAUCCGUUAUAUACCCCUUCUUUUCUUUAAAAAAUUCAUAUGUAUAUCUUGCCUUAUGUAUUUUUCAAUUUCAAUUUGUUUUAUUUAGUGUACUUAGAAGAAGUUUUAAUGAUUAGUGCUAAUAAAUUCACUGGUAUUUAAAUAUUAACAGCGGUUAUAAGCUAGUACAUAAGCACCAUAUGCGUACAAUAUUAAAUAAGAUAGCCACCAGAAUUAUUUAAUAAGUGCCAAUAAAGAUAAGUACAUCGGUUUACAAACGAUUAUAUUUUUCAAAUUUAUAGCAACAAUAUUACGUAAUAAGACCAUUAGUAUACAUAGAUAUACUAAUUUGUGGAGCACGGAUACAACACAUAAUAAAACUUCUUCAAACAGAUCCCUUUGUGGAGCAGUUUUUUGCUUGACAAAUAGCCAUACAACUGCCGAACUUCUCUUUGUCUGGAAAUUUAAUAAAAUAUUGAUUAAGUUAGAUAUCGCCAAAUACAAGCGAAUAGUAUGAGUUAUGAGUUAUAAGCAAGGGUAUCAAAUAGGCAAGAUUAGGCUAAUUUUAGGCCAAUUAAAAUGGCUUGGGUCAUUAUCAUCCCCGUUUCUCGCAAAACCACGUAUACUUAGAAGGGGAUUCAGGAUUUGAUAUUUACGAGAGCACUCUUACAUUCAAUAUAAAUUAUAAGUAUGUAUGUGUGUUGUACUUAUAUGUAAUUCACGUUUUAUUUAUUUAUACUUUUCCAAUUCACUUAAUCACCAAAUCAAAAUGACAAAAGCUUUUUCUUUAAUAAUCAUAAUUUUAUCAAACAAGGUAAGCCCGUAAAAUUUAGGUUUUUGAUAUUUAUAUAAGUUUUCUUGUUGAGUAAUUUGGAUUAAAUAGGUUGCCGAAGCUGGGUCAAAUGUGUUAUGCUCAAGUUAAUAUAUAUAUAUAUAUAUAUAUAUAUAUA